UACGUAGGUGACAAGCGUUGUCCGGAUUUACUGGGCGUAAAGAGCGCGCAGGCGGUCGUUCAAGUCGAGUGUGAAAGCCCCCGGCUCAACUGGGGAGGGUCACUCGAUACUGAUCGACUCGAAGGCAGGAGAGGGUAGUGGAAUUCCCGGUGUAGUGGUGAAAUGCGUAGAUAUCGGGAGGAACACCAGUGGCGAAGGCGGCUCACUGGUCCGGUACUGACGCUGAUGUGCGAAAGCGUGGGGAGCAAACAGG
rnacentral:rRNA from 1 species